UACGGGGGGGGCAAGCGUUGUUCGGAAUUACUGGGCGUAAAGGGCUCGUAGGCGGCCAACUAAGUCGGAUGUGAAAUCCCCAGGCUCGACCUGGGAACUGCAUCCGAUACUGGAUGGCUUGAAUUCGGGAGAGGGAUGCAGAAUUCCAGGUGUAGCGGUGAAAUGCGUAGAUAUCUGGAGGAAUACCGGUGGCGAAGGCGGCAUCCCGGACCGACAUUGACGCUGAGGAGCGAAAGCCAGGGGAGCAAACGGG
rnacentral:rRNA from 1 species